rnacentral:lncRNA from 1 species
GGAUUGUACACAGAAUUCUUGCUGCCUGCUUUUUGUCCUCCAGAAAACCAGAAGCCCUGGAGAUUAGGACAAAGCCAAAGUUCCCUUGUUAGCUGGCCACCCCUGCCCCGUUUUUAUCCCCUUGGUCGUUCCUUAUGCCCACAGGGAAGUGUGGUCCCCUGACACCCCCCCUCCCGCUCCUCUUCGCCCAGAAGUGUCGUCUCUCUCUGAGCACGCAUUCCCCUGCAGCAAACAAGCUGGCAGGCAGCAAGGACUGAGCAGAUUGAGUGAUCGUGGGGCAGAGAGGACUAGGAGGAAAGGUGUUCAGCCAGUCGGUUGUAAGGCGCUCGUCGGCACCGCUGAAGUGCUCCCACCUGACAGACUGUCCAGUUACACAUGGCAGGUCCUAGAGACUCAAAAGGGGGAGCUGCUUUCAAGGCUACCUACCAUGUCUGUGUUCCUGCCCCUCAUCUGCUGGUGUUCAUUUUGUUCUUUUGUGACACAAACUACAAAAACCAAUAAAUGCAUAACUGAGAAGGAC